AUGCAGGUCCUGGUGGAGCAACUAUGUCUGAUGGAUGCAAACUUGCUACCUACAAAUCACGGAGCUAAGCAUCAACCUGAGUGGCUAAUGAUCAUCUUAAUUAACCCACAAGACUUUAUGCAUGGCUGGUAUUCAUCCAACCUUUUGAUCCUAGACAGGAAUCUAUUAAAGACCGUUGAGAGAAUGAAAAGACAAAAUCCAACUUCCAUAAGCAGAAUUGUUAAGAGGAAAGACAGAAGAAUGAUCUUUGAUCAGAGAGGCGAAUGCCAACACAGCAGCUUCUUACUCUAUUUAUUAGCUUGGGAUCUUUGCCAGAAGAUUUUUCUCUGUCAACCAUUUCCAGACUUGUAGGUUGUCAUUGCUAAGACUGGAAUGACAGGUAUGGGCCUUCAUUCAUCUCCUCCUCCUCCUCCUCCUCCUCCUCCUCCUCCUC
rnacentral:lncRNA from 1 species